rnacentral:tRNA from 1 species
GCGGGCGUGGUGGAAUGGUAGACACACAAGACUUAAAAUCUUGAGGCUGUAUAGCCGUGCGGGUUCGAGUCCCGCCGCCCGCACCA